GUGCUCUCUUUGGCAGCGCAUAUACUCAAAUUGGAAUGAUACAGAGAAGAUUAGCAUGGCCCCUGCGCAAGGAUGACACACAAAUCGUGAAGCAUUCCAUAUUUUU